rnacentral:rRNA from 1 species
GGGGGAUAUUGCACAAUGGGGGAAACCCUGAUGCAGCGACGCCGCGUGAGUGAAGAAGUAUUUCGGUAUGUAAAGCUCUAUCAGCAGGGAAGAAAGACCCGCAAGGGGGAUGACGGUACCUGAGUAAGAAGCCCCGGCUAACUACGUGCCAGCAGCCGCGGUAAUACGUAGGGGGCAAGCGUUAUCCGGAUUUACUGGGUGUAAAGGGAGCGCAGACGGUUAUGCAAGUCUGGAGUGAAAACCCACAGCUCAACUGUGGGCUUGCUUUGGAAACUGUGUAACUGGAGUACUGGAGAGGUAAGCGGAAUUCCUAGUGUAGCGGUGAAAUGCGUAGAUAUUAGGAGGAACACCGGUGGCGAAGGCGGCUUACUGGACAGCAACUGACGUUGAGGCUCGAAGGCGUGGGGAGCAAAC